GAAACGACUGCUAAGACUGGAUAGGAAGAUAAAAGGCAUCUUGUAUCUUUUAAAAGACCUAGUUAAUAGGUAUGCUUUAGGAGGGGCUUGCGCCAUAUUAGUAGUUGGUAGGUAAUGGCCUACCCAGACGAUGAUGUGUAGCUGGACUGAGAGGUUGAACAGCCACAUUGGGACUGAGACACGGCCCAAACUCCUACGGGAGGCAGCAGUAGGGAAUUUUCGGCAAUGGAGGAAACUUCUGACCGAGCAACGCCGCGUGAAUGACGAAGUACUUCGGUAUGUAAAGAUCUUUUAUCGAGGAAGAAAAGCAAAUGGCGAACCAUUUGUUUGCCGGUACUUGAUGAAUAAGCCCCGGGCUAAUUAUGUGCCAGCAGCCGCGGUAAGACAUAAGGGGCAAGUGUUAUCCGGAAUUAUUGGGCGUAAAGGGUGCGUAGGCGGUCUAGUAAGUCAGUGGUGUAAUGGCAACGCUUAACGUUGUCCGGCUAUUGAAACUGCUAAACUUGAGUUAGAUAGAGGCGAGUGGAAUUCCAUGUGUAGCGGUAAAAUGCGUAAAUAUAUGGAGGAACACCAGAGGCGUAGGCGGCUCGCUGGGUCUUAACUGACGCUGAGGCACGAAAGCGUGGGGAGCAAACAGGAUUAGAUACCCUGGUAGUCCACGCCGUAAACGAUGAGUACUAAGUGUCGGGUUAAACCGGUACUGAAGUUAACACAUUAAGUACUCCGCCUGAGUAGUACGUACGCAAGUAUGAAACUUAAAGGAAUUGACGGGACUCCGCACAAGCGGUGGAUCAUGUUGUUUAAUUCGAAGAUACCCGAAAAACCUUACCAGGUCUUGACAUGUUUUUGCAAAAUGAUAGUAAUAUCGUGGAGGUUACCAGAAACACAGGUGGUGCAUGGUUGUCGUCAGCUCGUGUCGUGAGAUGUUAUGGUAAGUCCUAAAACGAGUGAAACCCUUAUCGUUAGUUGCCAGCACGUUAUGGUGGGGACUUUAACGAGACUGCCAAUGAUAAAUUGGAGGAAGGUGAGGAUCACGUCAAAUCAGCAUGCCCCUUAUGACCUGGGCUACAAACGUGAUACAAUGGCUGUUACAAAGGGUAGCUGAAACGCAAGUUCUUGGCCAAUCCCCAAAAACAGUCCCAGUCCGGAUUGAAGUCUGCAACUCGACUUCAUGAAGUUGGAAUCGCUAGUAAUCGCGAAUCAGCAUGUCGCGGUGAAUACGUUCUCGGGGUUUGUACACACCGCCCGUCA
rnacentral:rRNA from 6 species